GAGUUUGAUCCUGGCUCAGGAUGAACGCUGGCUACAGGCUUAACACAUGCAAGUCGUGGGGAAACGGCAUUAUGUGCUUGCACAUUCUGGACGUCGACCGGCGCACGGGUGAGUAUCGCGUAUCCAACCUGCCCCUUACUUGGGGAUACCCCGUUGAAAGACGGCCUAAUACCCGAUGUGUUUCAUUGACGGCAUCCGAUAUGAAACAAAGGUUUUCCGGUAAGGGAUGGGGAUGCGUCUGAUUAGCUUGUUGGCGGGGCAGCGGCCCACCAAGGCUACGAUCAGUAGGGGUUCUGAGAGGAAGGUCCCCCACAUUGGAACUGAGACACGGUCCAAACUCCUACGGGAGGCAGCAGUGAGGAAUAUUGGUCAAUGGACGCAAGUCUGAACCAGCCAAGUAGCGUGCAGGAUGACGGCCCUAUGGGUUGUAAACUGCUUUUAUGUGGGAAUAAAUUGGCGCACGUGUGCGCCAUUGCAUGUACCUCAUGAAUAAGGACCGGCUAAUUCCGUGCCAGCAGCCGCGGUAAUACGGAAGGUCCGGGCGUUAUCCGGAUUUAUUGGGUUUAAAGGGAGUGUAGGCGGUCUGUUAAGCGUGUUGUGAAAUUUAGGUGCUCAACAUUUAACUUGCAGCGCGAACUGUCAGACUUGAGUACACGCAGCGCAGGCGGAAUUCAUGGUGUAGCGGUGAAAUGCUUAGAUAUCAUGAGGAACUCCGAUCGCGAAGGCAGCCUGCGGGAGUGUUACUGACGCUUAAGCUCGAAGGUGCGGGUAUCGAACAGGAUUAGAUACCCUGGUAGUCCGCACUGUAAACGAUGGAUGCCCGC
rnacentral:rRNA from 1 species